GAUGAACGCUAGCGGCGUGCCUAAUACAUGCAAGUCGAGCGAAUGGAUUAAGAGCUUGCUCUUAUGAAGUUAGCGGCGGACGGGUGAGUAACACGUGGGUAACCUGCCCAUAAGACUGGGAUAACUCCGGGAAACCGGGGCUAAUACCGGAUAACAUUUUGAACCGCAUGGUUCGAAAUUGAAAGGCGGCUUCGGCUGUCACUUAUGGAUGGACCCGCGUCGCAUUAGCUAGUUGGUGAGGUAACGGCUCACCAAGGCAACGAUGCGUAGCCGAGCUGAGAGGGUGAGCGGCCACACGGGGACGGAGACACGGCCCAGACUCCUACGGGAGGCAGCAGUAGGGAAUCUUCCGCAAUGGACGAAAGUCUGACGGAGCAACGCCGCGUGAGUGAUGAAGGCUUUCGGGUCGUAAAACUCUGUUGUUAGGGAAGAACAAGUGCUAGUUGAAUAAGCUGGCACCUUGACGGUACCUAACCAGAAAGCCACGGCUAACUACGUGCCAGCCGCCGCUGUAA
rnacentral:rRNA from 1 species